UUUUUUUUUUUUUUUUUUUUUUUUUUUUACUUUUUAAAAAAAGAUAACAAACACCGAGUCAAUGAUCCCUACAUGGUUUUAAAGGAAAAAUUAUCAUGACAUUUUGGGUAAAAAAAAAAUACAACAUUUGAUAGAACUCAUUAAACUGGCUAUUUUUCAGGAAAAAAGUUUAAUAUAUGGCGGUAGGGGAUAGGUGGGAUGGUGAUUUCCAUAUAGGGCCAGCUGGAAAUAAAUAUAAAUUAACAUUAUAAAGUAAAUGGAGAAAACAUAAGCUAUAACUUUUCGUUAUUUUAUUAUUUAUAUGUAAGAUUUAUAGUUUUAAUUGUAUACUAUUUGCUACUGAUCCUAGGACCAGCUUAAGUAUGAGUUUUAAUUAUGAAGGGAAAAAGAACCUGAAGAUCCUAGGAUAAAAUUUUCUGGAGUUCCUACUGUGGGUCAGCAGUAAUGAACCCAUCUAGUAUCCAUAAGGAUUCGGGUUCAAUCCCUGGUUUUGUUCAAGGGAUUAAGGAUCCCACCAUGAGCUGUGGGCAGACCCAGCUCAGAUCUGGGCGUUUCUGUGGCUGUGGUAUAGGCCUGCAGCUACAGCUCCAAUUCAACACCUAGCCUGGGAAUUUCAUAUGCUGCAGGUGCAGCCCUAAAAGGCCAAAAAAUUUUUUUUUCCUAUUUUAACUACAGUGUUUCAUUUUCAACUCAUAUUCACAUUGCACUUGUUUAAGACUGGACAGAUUUUCUAGUCAUAAUUGAAAAAAAUGUUCACUGUCUCAUUUUUUAUGUAAGUUAUUUUUUCCUUAUUUUUCUGACCUGCACUGGGAAAUAAAGUCUUAAGACACAAAUGCAAAGUAUAUUAUUUCUUGAUUUAUCAGGUUAUUCUGAAUUUUAAUCCUAGCUUUCAAACUAAUAAAAAUAAGCUUUCUCAUCCUCUUAUCCCAUUGCAAUCUUUGUCUUUACUUGAAUUACUUCUCUGCCAACCUAGGAUCCCUCCACUCCCUAAACUCUGAUUAGCCCAUGUCCUCCCAGGAAGUCCAGUGUGAUUAACUCUAUAGAUUUCUAAUUGCUUCUUUACAUACUUUCUAAUUUACAUGCAUAAAUUACAUAAUUUCUAAAUUACAUAAUUUCUAAUUGCAUAUUUACAUACUCAGUUCGAUGUAAUUUUACAAAGGCUCCUGAAGUUUUUUUCAAGUACAUAUUUCAGUCAUUUAAAAAAAAAAAAAAGACUUAAUCUUAAAACCUUCUGUUUAAUUUUUGUCUUCUAUCCAAACCAGUACCUAAAUGCAGAAAACAUCAUAAAAAUCUCAUGACUAUGCCAUCUGUAUUUUGAAUGAGCAUACAAUAAUUUGGGUCAUUAUUAAAAUAGCAAAAGUCUAACUUAGGCCCAUAUAUUAUAUGUUCUCUCAGACUGAAACUGACUUAGUUACUGUCUACUCAUUUAAGACUGAAAGUCUUUACCACUGGAUCCCUAAGCUGUAUUUUCCUAGGAUAGUGAGAAAUGCAUUUUGCAAUAAGAGACAAAGUAUUUAAAAAUCAGGAUAGAUUACAUCCAUUAUUCUUGCCUCAACCAUCUAGGCUUUUCUCCCUGAAUCUCCCUUCAUUCGGAUUUUAUUCUGAAUGAAGCUAUGACUGUUAACCAAUACUCUAUUCUCUUCAUGGUGGUCAAGAGAUAUAUUCACAGGAUGAUUAAGGGCUAGGAUUAUAAUUUUCCUGGAUCAUUCUUUUUCUCAUUCCUUUAAUAUGUAAGUAUUUUUCCAUUAUAAAAUUACUACAGGAAUAUGUGCUUAUUGUUAGAAAUAAACCCAAGUAAUAAUACUCAAGUACGCAAAACAGUAAGAGUUCUUCAACCUUCCAGCAUCCCGCAUACACACUUUAUAUAAACUAAGGACAUAAUCUGGUACAUUAUUUUCCUGGCUAUUUCUUAAUGUAUUUAGAAAAUAUAAGGCAUAUAUUUUAUAUAUUUUUUAAUUUCAUAAAUUAUACAUAUACACAAUGUAUGCACAUAUAUAUACUUAUGAUUGAUGCACAGUAAUGUUUUAUUUUUUUUACAUGAAUGGGAUCAUACUGUGUACAUUAUUUUGUGACUUGGUUACAACUCAGCUUACCUUAGAGAUCUUUCCAGGAUUUUAGCCUACAAGUCAAAGUUUACAUGGUUGUUAUUACCUUUUAUCUUUAAAUACUACAGGGAGUAUUUCCUAACUUUCUACCAAUAGUAUUCUAAAAUAAAUGGAUCAUUACUUUCAGUGCCAAGGAAAAUGAGGAGUUCCCGUCGUGGCUCAGUGGUUAACGAAUCCAACUAGGAACCAUGAGGUUGCGGGUUCGAUCCCUGGCCUUGCUCAGUGGGUUGAGGAUCCGGCAUUGCCAUGAGCUGUGGUGUAGGUUGCAGACGCUGCUUGGAUCCCGCAUUGCUAUGGCUAUGGUGUAGGCCUGCGGCUACAGCUCUGAUUAGACCCCUAGCCUGGAGAACCUCCAUAUGCCGCCGGAGCGGCCCAAGAAAUGGCAAAAAGACAAAAAAAAAAAAAAAAAAAUUAAAAAACUAUAUACAUACACAUAUUUAGUAAAUCAAAGUCUAAAAUUAAUAAAGACUAAAAGUUUUAUGAAAAGCAAAAGCAAUAUAAUAUAGCAAAUUUGCCCACUGAUUAGAAAAAUCAGACACAUACAAUAAAUUUUCUGACUCACUGAGGCAAAUUGUACAAAAAUACAGAGAAACUGAUGAAAAAAUGUUUUAGAGCAUUCUUAACAGCUUUAAAAAGAAACAAAAUCUUUAAAAACCAUUUAUCAAUAUACUUAGAAUAUAGAAAACACAAACAGCAGGAGCACCAGACCAGAAAAGCAACAUAAAAUUAAAUUAAAAUUGAAUUAUGUGGAUCUAGUCUCCUCUCAUACACAUUAAGUAUAGUGUAGUAUUGAGACUGCUACUUGUGUAACAGACAAAAUAUUGCUUUAUUCUUCAAACUAGAAACAGGAGUCAGUUUGUUAUCAAGAGGAUAAGAAACUAACAUCUACUAAGAAUUUACUAAUCUUAAAAAAAGUUAAAUUGGAUCAUUUAAAUAAGAUAUGCAAUAAUAUAACCUGUUAGGAUUUUUUAGCAAAAAAUAUCUUAAAGGAAGUUCUAUACUACUUCUAGAAGAAAGUAACUUCAUUUUUAGACUUACAUGAAAUAAUUAAAUGUUACUACUUCCUAAAUGAAAAAAAGGAAUUUAUAAGGAGCGGCUUGAUUUAGGAAGGCCUAUAGCUACACAAAAUCAUUGCCAUUAUUACUGGCAGUAUUUGUAGCUGAUAUGAGCUUCCUGAUAUAUAGUGAGCUGAAUGCUAUAGCUUUAAUUGAAGUUUGAAUGUUAUAAACAGUUAGAUGUCUGGCUCUGGCCUGCAUUCUAAUACCAUCAGCAGAACAGAGAUGGGAAGCAUAAACAAACCUUUUAACUAGAUUACAGUCUCUAAAAUGGCCAAGAAAUCCUUCAGCACAACUCCUGUGUGACAAAUAUGGAGGAAGGAAAAUGAUUUUGAAAUAAUGCUAAAAAACAGCCUCUAAAUUUCUGUCAUUACUGGAACAUGUAUUUGAUUUCCCAAGUAUUUUGAUGCUGCUUAAUAUUCAGUAAUGAUAAAAACUUUAUAUUUACUUUCCAAAUAAACAAAAAUCCUUUAUAUCUUACAAAGCAGCUGGUUUUUAGAUCAGUAUAUCCCAAGGAAGCUAUUUAAAAAUCAAUACUUUCUUUUGUGGAAUGUGGAAUACUUCCCUACCAAACACCAGUGAGUGUAUGUAUACAGUAUACAGCCUACAUUAUUAUUUUUAGAUUACUAGUAAUACUAAUUAACAUUCACCAGAUUAGUAGACACUUAGGAACUCAAGGCGUAUAGAAAACGAUAGACUUGAAUACCAGGAAGAAUCAAAUUACAAUUUAGCAUCAGCCAACCUUAAAAAACAUUUUACAUUUACUUCUAACUUCUGAGGUAUAGACAUUAAGUUUUCUUUAAAAAGGUAGCAAAAGACUGUAAGUUUUAACUCUAGUACCAUAGAGAAAUUUGUCCUCCUAUUGCUGGAAUCUUAGUUGGUGGCAUAGGACUCAGUGAUGCAUGGAUGUGCAAAAUUUUUUCACCAGUGGUAUCCAAUUAAUAUAACUCAUUUUAGCCCUUUAAAACAAUACAUUCUAAUAAAUUACUCAAAGACACAGAAUUUAAUUACAAGUGCUCUAAGAAAAGGUUAUUAUAGAGGUCAACCGAAAUAAGGACUCAAAUCAGGAUUACUCACAACCAACUUUUUUUUUUUGUCUUUUUGUCUUUUUAGGGCUACACCCAUGGCACAUGGAGGUUCCCAGGCUAGGGGAUCUAAUCGGAGCUGUAGCUGCGGGCCUAUGCCAGAGCCACAGCAACGUGGGAUCCAAGCCGCGUCUGCGAACUAUAUCACAGCUCAAGGAAACACUGGAUCCUUAACUCACUGAGCGAGGCCCUGAUCAAACCUGCAACCUCAUGGUUCCUAGUCGGGUUAGUUAACCAUUGGGCCAUGACGGGAACUCCCCACAACCAACUAUGAACGCAGUAUGUGUUUUUUGCCAGGUGAUUUUCCUUUCUGUUAUGUCCAGCUACAUUAGAAGAUAAUACAUUAAUAUAUUUUAAGCCUGGUUUGCACCUUGUCUCUCUGAAGAGCUAUACUGAGUCAUUCCAACUUCUAUAAUCUUACAUGAUAUAGAAAUACCUCAAACAGAAAUGCUGAAGAGUUAGAAUCUCCAUCUUUAACUGAAUUAACUUUAGGUUAUCUAAGGAGAUUACUCAGGACCAAAUUCUAUCCUACUGAUUAUUGAGAUUGGCUUAAACAUAAAAACCUUUCUGAAAAAUGAGAUGACACAUUAUAGAUUUUUUAGCAUUUAAAAAUAUUUCUAAACUCUACAGGUCAUGAUGCAUUGGCAUAAUGUUUAUAGGGUAGUAGAGUCAAUGUAAGCAUACAGUAUGAAAUGCAUUUACUUAGGACAGAUAUGAAAGUUAUGUCAUUAAUAAAACAGAAUUUAAAAAAAAACCUCUUUUCUCUAAAAGGCAGAAGAUUAAAAAUCAACAUUUGUUGGCUGGAUUAAAAAGUAUCGUAAUUCAGUAGCUGCUUUGAAGAACAACUAUAUAGUAAUUUAGGCAUCAAGAGAAUCCAAGAAGUUGUCCAUUCUUAUACUAAAAACAUUUGAGUUUAAGUAAUACUAAAAAGAGUACAUUAAAUUUAAUCCUAUAAAGGCAAUGUAGUAAUUAUAAAAUACUGUAAGACAGAGGUGCAGAAAGUAUGUGUAUAUACACCAAAGCAUUAGGCAAUAUAAACUCCCCUUUGUUUAUAGGUUUUCCAUUAUCAACAGUUAUAUAAAAAUUUUUAUAGUAAAUAUUCUCUGGGUCACAAAUUUUUGGAACCUUCAAAUUUCAUGCAAUAAAAUAUUAAAUUUAACCCCAUGCAAGACAAAGGAAAUUCAGUAUUUAGAAGGCCUAAAUGUCAUUUUUGCCACACAAAGAGAAGACUGACUUUACGUAUAUUUCAUUGCAAAUUGCACACUGGUUUGGAUCUACAUUCCUUAUAAAAGAUUGGAUUUUUUGUUUGUUUUUGUCCUAAAUUUUUAGAAAAUUUCCAUCUAUCAGUAAGCUACCAGGGCCAUGAUUUUACUAAUAUUUACCAGAGUAUUUACUGACUGAUAAAAACUCUUUACUGUGACCAUGUUUUUAAUUAGAAAGUGUCAUGAAUUUACUAUAAUGGAAUAUUUUGCUGAUUAUAAUAAAAUCUUGUUUUGUCAGGAAAAACUUCCUCUUUGCAAUGUGUAGACAAUGUUACAAAGUUCACAGGACCACAGUAAGGACUGACUAGGAUUGAUAAUAUUUACCACAGUACUAGGCACUUAUAAUAAUGGUAACUAUGAUUAUUACCAAAAUAGAAGGUUAAGAAUGAAUGUGAAAGAGAUCAGAACUGACUGACACUCAGAAGUCUAUUUAGCUUUACAAGAUACUCUACCAGAAAGACCCCUCCCUCUUUUAAAUUAUGAAUCGAUAUUAUUCUAAAAGGCAUACUUUAAGGACAGCAAAGGAAAUCCAGGAAAUCUCUCUCUCUAAUAAACCUGUAAAUUACAUAUGAAAACCAUGACAGAACUAAGAUAGUAUUCUCAGUUUUUUGAAACAUCCUUCAACUAAGAAAUUCCAAAUAACUUUACUAAAGUUAUAGAAACAAUACCACAUAAGUUAAAAACUGCAACUGAUUCCUCCAAAAUUCUCCAAAUUUAUCUACAACACAUUACAAAUUCCAAAACUCCUAAAUAGUCUAUACUAUAAUUAGUUCAUGAUAAUUAAAUCAUACUGUCAGCUUAAGCUAUGGUAGAAAAUAAUUAAAUGCUCAAAAUGUUAAUGUACAAUGUCUUCCAACAAACCAUGAAUGAUAACCUGUUAUAUGAGAUAUAAAAAUGAAAAAGUUACUUUGGAGGAAAAAAAUGUUUAAGAUUAGAGAGUUAGAUUUCUUUUUGGGGGGAAUAAUUUAAUGAGAUAUUUUAAUGAACCGUGUUGGUCAUCUUCAAGUAAAACUAUAUAGCAGUAAAAUAUCAGCAGUGAUAGCCACAUGGUCUAUUUUCAUAAAAUAGUGAAAUAAUAGGUCUAAAAUUAGUGAAUUAUAUACAGAAUAGAAAUCCCUAGAAUACAGUAUUAAGUGGAAAAUUUUUCUUUGCAUUUCUCUAUUCUAAUAAAAUACAGAAAUAUUCUUCUUAAACAUGCAUUUUUCUACCUAAUGGUAUCUAUUUAGUUAAUAAAAUUUAUUUAAGUAGAAACAUCAAAUAAAGAUAUGACCAAUACACUUGUGGAAUACAGUUAAUUAAGAUCCUCUUCACAUUAAAUUGUAGGGACCAUCCUUGUUUCUCAGAUGACUAGCACAGUGCCUGACAUACAUAAGAUGCUCAAUAAAUGUUUAAUGAAUAACUAAGUACAAUCUGUUUUGCACAUACAUUCGAAAUACAGACAAGUUUGCAAAGGUACAUAAGUUGGACAUAGGCUUUCUGGCUGACUUCCUGGGGUCCCACUGAUGACUAGGAGUAAAUCUUCAUAUCCAUAGAAAACUGGAAAGUUGAUAAUUGUCUGGGUAAGGACCAAAAAAACAAAGUCAGGGAAACAUGUCACCUAAGUAACGGUUGCUUUAUAGAGCUGGUAAAAGCAGCCUAAUUAUUCCAAUAACCUAUUGUACCAGUUACUCAAUGAAAUGAAAUCUAAGUGUAUUCUGAAUGUUUGCUAGAAUCUUUUUAACAGGAAUUUUUUUGAUUAACCUUUAUUUAAAAUAAAUCAUUUUCAUCAAGUUGUAGCCCAUACAGAAUAUGUUUUUACUUAUUAUGAAUACUAUUGGUUAACAGGAUUUAAUUUGGCUAUUCGAAAAAGGGAGAACCACAGUGAAGUUAGAAAAAAUCUUCAUAGUAGUGAAUAAAUUGUAGCAGGAAGGAAAGGAAAAAGGAUGAAAAAGAAGGAAUUCCGUAUCUGAGAGUGAAGAAAUUCAAAUAUUCCUAACUCUAAUAUCAAUUAUGACAAACAACCAGUAGGGCCUACAGUGAACUAGACAUUGUGCUGUGAGGGAACAAGAAAAAAUCUUUAGUCCUACUUAAGCAGUUCACCGAAGAAGAAUCACAAGUAAACAUUUAUAUUACAAUAUGCAUUCUUCAUACACAUAUAUAUAUAUAUAUAUAAAGAGAGACAGGGAAGGGGAGAGAAGGAAUGAGAGAGAAUGAAAGAGAUAGAGCUUCUUAAUACAAAAGUAAGAGAUGUAUUUACUCUUACUUGAUUAAUAAGAAGUACAAAGGAAAAAUAAGCAUUAGGGAAAGCUGAAAUAUCUCAAAAUAAUAAUAAUCCAUAUGAGAGAAAUCAGUACCUCUUAAAAACUCAACAGAUUAUUUAAUUAUAUGGACAAAACUGAGGCUUUACAGACAUCUCAUAUUCUUAGAAUGUCUUCAUUUAACCUUUAAGUGCCAUACACAGACUGUGCACAACAGUUUCAUUUCUGACAAAAAAUAAUGAGGUAGUAUGGCAAAGUGAGUAUCAAGAAUCAGAGUUCUCUUGUCUAUGUGCUGUCCGCUUACAGGCCUUGGAACUCUGGGCAAGUUCCUUGAACUCUCUGAACUUUAGCAAUAUGGAAAAUAAAGAGUUGGAUAAAGUGACAUCCAAGAUAUCACCCAGUUGAAAAUUACAAUUCUAAAAUACAUCUUAAUACUUAAAAAUAAGCCAUAAUAAAAAUACAUAGUUUUCUAAGGGUAGAUCUUCAUCCAACUUAGAGGAGGUGUGGAAUCUUCAAACCAUAUAGCCUUACCCUGGGUUGGGGUAUGGAAUGUUUUCAAAGGAAAACAGAAACAAAGUUAAGAUAUUAUAAUCAAGCUGUUGAUUUUCACUCAGCUGCCAACUGGGACAGCACCACCCCAAUUACCUACAAAAUUCACUUUACUUAAAAAUGAUUUCUUGGAGUUCCCGUCGUGGCUCAGUGGUUUAAAGAAUCUGACUAGGAACCAUGAGGUUGUGGGUUUGAUCCCUGCCCUCGCUCAGAGGGUUAAGGAUCCAGUGUUGCCAUGAGCUGUGGUGUAGGUCGCAGAUGCGGCUUGGAUCUGGCAUUGCUGUGGCUCUGGCAGAGGCCAGGAACAAUUAGACCCCUAGCCUGGGAACCUCCAUAU
rnacentral:lncRNA from 1 species